rnacentral:rRNA from 1 species
UACGAAGGGGGCUAGCGUUGCUCGGAAUUACUGGGCGUAAAGGGAGCGUAGGCGGGUUAUCAAGUUGGAGGUGAAAGCCCAGGGCUCAACCUUGGAAUUGCCUUCAAGACUGAUAGCCUAGAGUAUGAUAGAGGUAAGUGGAACUCCGAGUGUAGAGGUGAAAUUCGUAGAUAUUCGGAAGAGCACCAGUGGCGAAGGCGACUUACUGGAUCAUGACUGACGCUGAGGCUCGAAAGCGUGGGGAGCAAACAGG